rnacentral:rRNA from 1 species
AGAGUUUGAUCCUGGCUCAGAAUGAACGCUGGCGGCGUGGUUAAGACAUGCAAGUCGAACGGGACUCAUUGAAGCGCAAGUGGAUAUGAGUUCAGUGGCGAACGGGUGCGUAACACGCGAACAAUCUACCUCCGAGUGGGGAAUAGCUCGUCGAAAGGCGAAUUAAUACCGCAUACGGUCGGGUCUCGCAUGAGAUCCGU